rnacentral:lncRNA from 1 species
UGUCAGAGGGGUGAUUUAGGGUCAAUUUUGACCCAAAAAUCACCCCUCCGAUUUGUUUUUCCUUCUACCUUAAUUGAAUAAGUGAUUUCACAUAUUUUAUGUUUUCUUUCAUUUGUUUUUGUGAUUUCGUCGUCUCUGAACGACUCUGUUUGUUUUGAUUUUCCGUCUUUGUGCGGUGUGUUUUUUAUUUCCCGUCUUAGUGCGGUGUUUAUUUGAUUCAGGUUGAAAGAUUAGCUUUGAA